rnacentral:rRNA from 1 species
AAUGAACGCUGGCGGCAUGCCUAACACAUGCAAGUCGAGCGAAACCUACGGGUUUAGUGGAGAACGGGUGCGCAACGUGCUGGAACCUGCCCAGAGGUUUGGCAGAACGCGGCGAAAGGGGUGCGAAAACGGGACAAAGUCAGGCGACCAAAGAUUGAUGGCCUAUGGAAGGGCACGCGUUGGAUUAGCUAGUUGGUAGGGUAAAAUCCUACGAAGGCGUGGAUCCAUAGCGGGUGUGAGAGGAUGAUCAGCCACACUGGGACUGAGACACGGUCCAGACUCUUACGGGAGGCAGCAGUGGGGAAUAUUGCACAGUGGGCGAUAGCCUGAUCCAGCAAUGCCUCGUGAGUAAUGAAGGCCUUAGGGUUGUAAAGCUCUUUUACCCCUGAUGAUAAUGACAGUACCGGGAGAAUAAGCUCCGGCUAACUCCGUG